UGAAAUUUUAUUAAAAGAAAAAGGGGUGAAAAGAACAAAGUUUUGUCCAUCUUUGUUCAUCAUAGCCUAAAGUUAGAGAAGAGAAAGGAGAGGAGAAAGCUCUUGAAUGUUCGAUCACUUGGGGAAGAAAAUUGAAGGAAAUCUGUAACGCCUCGUACCCGAGACCAUCGCCGGAGUCGAACACGAGGUGUUAACAGACUUAAUUCAUUACUUAAACAGCUCAAACAAUUUAUUUUUAAAAUUUUUAGUCAAGCUAACAAUCUGCGUCAUAGUCGCUUAAAAAUUCAUAUCUCGAGUUACGAAACUCGAAAUCAAAUUCCGUAAAUUUUCCCUGAAACUAGACUCAUAUAUAUAUUUACUAAUUGUUUUUCUAGAA